AUGUCAUGAUUUGGGCAUUGGGCUAACAUUCCAUUAAACCUCUCCUAAGCUUCAAACAACGAUUCUCCAUUCAUUUCCCAGAAGUUCACAAUCUCAUCCUGCUUAU
rnacentral:snoRNA from 1 species